UACGUAGGGGGCAAGCGUUGUCCGGAAUCAUUGGGCGUAAAGCGCGUGUAGGCGGUUCGAUAAGUCUGCUGUGAAAGUCCAGGGCUCAACCCUGGAAAGCCGGUGGAUACUGUCGGACUAGAGUCCGGAAGAGGAGAGUGGAAUUCCUGGUGUAGCGGUGAAAUGCGCAGAUAUCAGGAAGAACACCCGUGGCGAAGGCGGCUCUCUGGGACGGUACUGACGCUGAGACGCGAAAGCGUGGGGAGCGAACAGG
rnacentral:rRNA from 1 species